rnacentral:lncRNA from 1 species
GAGAUGCUGGCUCUGCUGGGCAUUUGGAGAAACAGCACAUCACAUGGCAAGGAGACUGGAAGGAAGAUGGGGAAGCGGGGAAUUGUACCCUUAGGGCCUUUCCCACUGCAUCCCCCCUCCCCCCACCUGACACCCAAUUCUACUCACUCUUCCCCGUCUCAGUUCUAGAAAGCUCCAGCAGGAGAACAGGGCUGGAGAGAAUGGCUCAGUGGUUAAGAAGCACCUUCCUGCUCUUCUGAAGGUCCUGAGUUCAAAUCCCAGCAACCACAUGGUGGCUCACAACCAUCUGUAAUGAGAU